rnacentral:rRNA from 1 species
CCUACGGGGGGCAGCAGUGGGGGAUAUUGCACAAUGGGGGGAACCCUGAUGCAGCGACGCCGCGUGGGUGAAGAAGCGCUUCGGCGCGUAAAGCCCUGUCAGCAGGGAAGAAAAUGACGGUACCUGACGAAGAAGCCCCGGCUAACUACGUGCCAGCAGCCGCGGUAAUACGUAGGGGGCAAGCGUUAUCCGGAUUUACUGGGUGUAAAGGGGGCGCAGACGGCGAUGCAAGCCGGAGGUGAAAUCGAGGGGCUAAACCCCGCCGAGCCGUGGGAACUGGGGGCCUUGAGUGCGGGGGAGGCAUGCGGAAUGCGCGGUGUAGCGGUGAAAUGCGUAGAUAUCGCGCAGAACCCCGGUUGCGAAGGCAGCGUGCCGUGCCGCCACUGACGCUGAGGCACGAAAGCGCGGGGAUCGAACAGGAUUAGAUACCCCGGUAGUC